rnacentral:rRNA from 1 species
CCUACGGGAGGCAGCAGUGAGGAAUAUUGGUCAAUGGGCGCGAGCCUGAACCAGCCAAGUCGCGUGAGGGAUGACGGCCCUACGGGUUGUAAACCUCUUUUGUCGGGGAGCAAAUUCCGUUACGUGUAACGGAGUCGAGAGUACCCGAAGAAAAAGCAUCGGCUAACUCCGUGCCAGCAGCCGCGGUAAU